rnacentral:lncRNA from 13 species
GCAGAAAUCCAGAACCUGCAAAACAUCCACAAGGCAGCCCAUCGAGAAAGGAAGCUUUUGUUAAAGCAGCAGAGAGAAAUCUUAAUGAUGCAGCAUUCAACAGCACAACUCCAGGAAAAGCUGCACACUUUGGCUGGGAAGCAAGAGGUUACAAAGUCACAGUCAGGGAGUAAAGAGAGUUGUGUCCAGCUAAAGAAUAAGCAGAGCAAGAAAUAUGAGGGCUUUUCUACUGAGAGCAAGGAGUUACUGGUAGAACACCAGAAACAACUGGAGGAGUCCCCAGGUUUGGAGCAGUCCCUUAGGGCUCAGGAUAACAUUUUCUUACCUCUGGAACCUACAAAUUCAGCUGGAAUGGAACCUAUAGCCACACUCAUUACAGUAGAAGACAAAAAGGGUGCAUUUCUGGAACCUGUGCUGGAGGAAAAGGCACUUCUUUCAAACCCAAACACUGAUCCUAAAGAUAAUGAAGAUAUUAAUCCAUAUGGCAGCAAGUACCCAGUGAAAGGCCUGGGGAUCCUUCCUACUUGGUGUAACUUAUGCCUGGUUCAGGCAGAAAAUACUCUUGAAGGAACAGGUCAAUCAUAUUUAAUGCUAUUAUGUCCAAUCUGUUUCAACCACUUCAAUCAAACUUUAAUCCAGACAGAAAGAGAGACAAUCUUCUCAUUUAUUACCAAAGUGUCUUGCUCACUAUAGCCAAUGUAUAAAUCACUGCUGGGCAAGAUGGUGGGGAUGUCUUGGAGCUUUAUUAAGAGAGAUGAUUAUACUGCUUCCCCAGAACAAAAUCAUAACUUACUCUGAUUGUGUCAUUAACAAUUUACCCUCUUUUGAGGCAGUUUUUCAAGAAUUUAAGGAUGUUCUUUUUAAAAGAACAUAGAUCACUUGAAGAUAGACUUGGACAGGACAUACUGGAGUUAUUUUUGUUUCCAGGUUUUAUCCUCAGUUCAUAUUUCUUACUCUCAGUAGGACAGGUAAAAAAUAAAACUGUCUGUUUAUAUAUGAGUCAGUUAUAUCAUUUACAUAGUUCUGGGUAUGCAUAAUCUCUGUAAUAUAAAUAUUUACAUAUUGUGGCAAUAUUUCCUGUUUCUGUCAUUUUUCUAAUGAAUCGUCUUUCUGCAUUUCAUAGAAUCAUAGAAUAUCUUGAUUUGGAAGGGACCCACAAGGAUCAUAAAGUCCAACUCCUAAUGUACUCCUAGAUAUCAUAGUGAGGAGCACUAUAGAUUUUUGUAUCCCAAGUGAUAUAUCAGCAACCUCUUCUAUAAAAUAUUUUUUAUAAAAUGAUGAUUUUAAAAACAAAUUCUUUUAAAUGUUCCAGUUAAAGAAGUGGAAGUGCUUGUCUCUUCUGAGAUCCAUCAGGUGGAUGCCAGUCAAUGUUUGAAGCAUUUGGACCAUAUUUCCCAUGAAGCUUCUGAUGAAGAACUAAAUUUAAAAGCAUUUUCUGAAGGAUUAACUUCCACUGAAUCAUCAUCCAAGUCAAACAACUUCUUUUUGAAAUGUGAAAGUGCCAAAUCAGGCUCUUCACCCCCAGCAUUUCAGAAAGUGUCUGCAGUCGACAUCUCGAACAGUUCCAUUUCAGACCUGGUAUUAGAGCUGAAACAUGGAGAGGACACAGAUGUCAGUGUCCCAGAAGAGU